ACCUAAUGAUGGGGGCAUUUAUGGAACAAGUCGCUAAAACACUCUCAUGUCUCAAAAAAGAGUUCCCCGUCCAUCUGUGAGAAACUCAUGACGGCUCUCCGAAGCU